AACGUACGCUGGCGGCACGCUUAACACAUGCAAGUCGAACGAAGUAGCAAUACUUAGUGGCAGACGGGUGAGUAACAUGUGGGUAUCUGCCCUUUGGCCUGGAAUAACACGAGGAAACUUGUGCUAAUACCGGAUAAGUCUUUACGGAGAAAGCUUUAUGCACCAUUGGAUGAGCCCGCACUUGAUUAGUUUGUUGGUGGGGUAAUGGCCUACCAAGACUGUGAUCAAUAGCUGAUUUGAGAGGAUGAUCAGCCACAUUGGGACUGAGACACGGCCCAAACUCCUACGGGAGGCAGCAGUGGGGAAUCUUGCACAAUGGGGGAAACUCUGAUGCAGCGAUGCCGCGUGAGUGAAGAAGGCCCUUGGGUUGUAAAGCUCUUUCGUCGGGGAAGAAAAUGACUGUACCCGAAUAAGAAGGUCCGGCUAACUUCGUGCCAGCAGCCGCGGUAAUACGAAGGGACCUAGCGUAGUUCGGAAUUACUGGGCUUAAAGAGUUCGUAGGUGGUUGAAAAAGUUAGUGGUGAAAUCCCAGAGCUUAACUCUGGAACUGCCAUUAAAACUUUUCAGCUAGAGUAUGAUAGAGGAAAGCAGAAUUUCUAGUGUAGAGGUGAAAUUCGUAGAUAUUAGAAAGAAUACCAAUUGCGAAGGCAGCUUUCUGGAUCAUUACUGACACUGAGGAACGAAAGCAUGGGUAGCGAAGAGGAUUAGAUACCCUCGUAGUCCAUGCCGUAAACGAUGUGUGUUAGACGUUGGAAAUUUAUUUUCAGUGUCGCAGCGAAAGCGAUAAACACACCGCCUGGGGAGUACGACCGCAAGGUUAAAACUCAAAUGAAUUGACGGGGACCCGCACAAGUAGUGGAGCAUGUGGUUUAAUUCGAAGAUACGCGCAGAACCUUACCAACACUUGACAUGUUCGUCGCGACUCUAAGAGAUUAGAGUUUUCGGUUCGGCCGGACGAAACACAGGUGCUGCAUGGCUGUCGUCAGCUCGUGUCGUGAGAUGUUGGGUUAAGUCCCGCAACGAGCGCAACCCUCACUUUUAGUUGCCAUCAUUAAGUUGGGCACUCUGAAAGAACUGCCAGUGAUAAGCUGGAGGAAGGUGGGGAUGACGUCAAGUCCUCAUGGCCCUUACGUGUUGGGCUACACACGUGCUACAAUGGUAUCUACAACAGGAAGCAAGACUGCGAGGUCAAGCAAAUCCUUAAAAGAUACCUCAGUUCGGAUUGCACUCUGCAACUCGAGUGCAUGAAGCUGGAAUUACUAGUAAUCGUGGAUCAGCGUGCCACGGUGAAUGCGUUCCCGGGUCU
rnacentral:rRNA from 1 species